UACGUAGGGGGCGAGCGUUGUCCGGAGUUACUGGGCGUAAAGGGCGUGUAGGCGGUCUCCCGCGUGUUUCUGGACAGCCGUCGGCUUAACUGGCGGAGCGAGGAGCAGACGGGGAGACUAAGAGGGCCACAGAGGAACUGGGAAGUCCGGGUGGAGCGGUGAAAUGCGUAGAGACCCGGAGGAACACCAAAGGCGAAGGCAAGGUUCUGGGUGGCGCCUGACGCUGAGGCGCGAAAGCCAGGGGAGCGAACGGG
rnacentral:rRNA from 1 species